UUGUUUUAGCAGUAGAUGUACUAAAUUUGGAAUGUUAAAGAGGAGAUUAACAUGACCCGCGAAGGAUGACAGAGCUAGAUCUUUAAUAAUUAAAUAUUUUC
rnacentral:snRNA from 1 species